GGAGAGUUGCCAGAGUGGUUGAAUGGGGCGGUCUCGAAAACCGUUGUCUCCGUUUUGGGGACCGGAGGUUCGAAUCCUCCACUCUCCG
rnacentral:tRNA from 1 species